UACGUAGGGGGCAAGCGUUGUCCGGAAUCAUUGGGCGUAAAGCGCGUGUAGGCGGUUCGAUAAGUCUGCUGUGAAAGUCCAGGGCUCAACCCUGGGAUGCCGGUCGAUACUGCCGGACUAGAGUUCGGAAGAGGCGAGUGGAAUUCCCGGUGUAGCGGUGAAAUGCGCAGAUAUCGGGAGGAACACCUAUGGCGAAGGCAGCUCGCUGGGACGUUACUGACGCUGAGACGCGAAAGCGUGGGGAGCAAACAGG
rnacentral:rRNA from 1 species